rnacentral:rRNA from 1 species
AUUGAACGCUGGCGGCAGGCUUAACACAUGCAAGUCGAACGAUGAGUCUCUAGCUUGCUAGAGAUGAUUAGUGGCGGACGGGUGAGUAACAUUUAGGAAUCUACCUAGUAGUGGGGGAUAGCUCGGGGAAACUCGAAUUAAUACCGCAUACGACCUACGGGUGAAAGGGGGCGCAAGCUCUUGCUAUUAGAUGAGCCUAAAUCAGAUUAGCUAGUUGGUGGGGUAAAGGCCCACCAAGGCGACGAUCUGUAACUGGUCUGAGAGGAUGAUCAGUCACACCGGAACUGAGACACGGUCCGGACUCCUACGGGAGGCAGCAGUGGGGAAUAUUGGACAAUGGGGGCAACCCUGAUCCAGCCAUGCCGCGUGUGUGAAGAAGGCCUUUUGGUUGUAAAGCACUUUAAGCAGGGAGGAGAGGCUAAUGGUUAAUACCCAUUAGAUUAGACGUUACCUGCAGAAUAAGCACCGGCUAACUCUGUG